rnacentral:lncRNA from 1 species
AUUAUUUUCUUGGAGGCCCUAGGAUGGAGAGAAGAAAUUCCAGCAUCCAGAGGCCACUUCUUUGAGAGAAAAACUAUUUGUACAAACAGGACAAUUUAUACGAUCUUUUUCCUAUCAGUUCCUCUCCCACCAGAGGCCACAUGCCAGGGCUUGGGUCCCCCAGGUCCUUCCACCUUUGAGCUACUGACCUGGCCGGGCCAGACCGCCCGGCUCUCUCUCCUCCCAGCACGACCAAGCCCUGACCAGCAGGCAGGCCGCCUCUGGGCUCCAGAAGGCACCCUGGGAGCCUUGGGACAGGGCUGGACAACAACAGCCUUCAUCUCCUGUCUGGUUUCCUUUUCCUUCGCAAGCCCAUCUUGCAGGCCCCCAGCGACGGCCACCCAGACACACUCACUGUGCUCCCCGGGGAGCACUCGCAGUGCGAACCCCAGAGACGCUGUUCUAAAGGCAAUAAGGGGCAGCUGGCGGGCAGCCAGGCCAGUGUGGUACUACGCUGUUCUCCCAGGAAACACGAGUUCCUUUUUUUUUCCUUUAAAAACAAAAAAAAAAUAUAUAUAUAUAUAUAUAUUUAUUUUUUCAUGUAGAGUUGCGCCAGAACAAGUCUGGAUGGCCACAGUCUGUGGAUUCCCCCAACCUCAAGCUGAGGAUCGAGGCGUGUCCCCCAUGGGCAGGGGGGUCAGCAAGAGGACCCAGAGGGACAGUCAGGGUGGGGGGAAGGCGGCUUCCCUUUCUGGGAAGCACCAGGCAGGAAGGAGUUGGCAACGUGGGCUGGGCUUAGAGCCCGAGCCAGGCAGCCGGCACUUGUCCAGAGACCCCCCCAGGUUCUCUUCAGGCCCAGGAACCCGGGCAGAUAGGCGUUUCUGGGACUGCAUAGAUCAGGCACUCAGGGAGGUGCCAGGCUGGAGGGGCGGGGGCCCGAGAAGAGGGUGUUCACUGCGUCUCCCUAUGAUCUGCCUCUGGCCGCCAGCAUCCCCCAGUCUUGAGAGUAAAACCUCACCCCUGCCACCUCCUCUCCCCACAGUGGUGGCGAGAGGCCAGCCUGCCAAGGCCAGGCCUGCCCAGCACCCUCCCCAGCCCUGGCCAACUACUGUGAUGUCUCCUUCCCUGGUCCCCUUCUCGGGGGUUCUCCAGGCCCCCUCCCCACCCCCCCUCCUCAGACCCUAA